UACGUAGGUUGCAAGCGUUGUCCGGAAUUACUGGGUGUAAAGCGCGUGUAGGCGGGAGGCCAAGUCUGCUGUGAAAUCGCCCGGCUCAACUGGGCGGGGUCGGUGGAAACUGGUCACCUGGAGGACGGUAGAGGCGAGUGGAAUUCCCGGUGUAGUGGUGAAAUGCGUAGAGAUCGGGAGGAACACCAGUGGCGAAGGCGGCUCGCUGGGCCGGACCUGACGCUGAGACGCGAAGGCGUGGGGAGCGAACAGG
rnacentral:rRNA from 1 species